UAGAGAGUUGGGCGAAGCUGAUGCAGCGACGCCGCGUGAGUGAUGAAGGCCUUCGGGUUGUAAACCUCUUUCGGUCGGGACGAUGGAGGCCGGACCCAUUGAUGAGGUGCCUGACGACUACCGUGCCAGCAAGCGCCGGAAUAACUACGUGCCAGCAGACGCGGUAAUAA
rnacentral:rRNA from 1 species